AGUAAAAAUAUAAGUUUGACCUUUAAGGAGACGGACCUUUUCAAGUUCUAGAGCAUAUCAAUAUGCCUACAAAAUUGAUCUCUUAGAUGACUACGGUGUGUCUACUACCUUUAAUAUUUUUUACCUUCCUUUUUUUAUGCAGGACCAGAUUUGAGGACGAAUCUUUUUGAAGAGGGAGGGGAUGAUGUGAGCAUGGACAU
rnacentral:lncRNA from 1 species